GGACUACCGGGGUUUCUAAUCCUGUUUGCUCCCCACGCUUUCGUGCCUCAGCGUCAGUUUUGGCCCAGGUAGCCGCCUUCGCCACCGGUGUUCCUGCGAAUCUCUACGAAUUUCACCUCUACACUCGCAAUUCCACUACCCUCUACCAAUCUCUAGUUAAACCGUAUCAAAUGCCAUUCCCAGGUUAAGCCCGGGGAUUUCACAUCUGACGUGUCUAACCGCCUACACACCCUUUACGCCCAGUCAUUCCGAACAACGCUAGCACCCUUCGUAUUACCGCGGCUGCUGGCAC
rnacentral:rRNA from 1 species